GAUGAAGAACGUAGCGAAAUGCGAUAAGUAGUGUGAAUUGCAGAAUUCAGUGAAUCAUCGAAUCUUUGAACGCACAUUGCGCCCCCUGGCAUUCCGGGGGGCAUGCCUGUCCGAGCGUCAUUGCUGCCCUUCAAGCCCGGCUUGUGUGUUGGGUCGUCGUCCCCCCCGGGGGACGGGCCCGAAAGGCAGCGGCGGCACCGCGUCCGGUCCUCGAGCGUAUGGGGCUUUGUCACCCGCUCGAUUAGGGCCGGCCGGGCGCCAGCCGGCGUCUCCAACCUUCUAUUUUACCAGGUUGACCUCGGAUCAGGUAGGGAUACCCGCUGAACUUAAGCAUAUCAUAAGCGGAGGA
rnacentral:misc_RNA from 1 species